AUUGAACGCUAGCGGCAUGCUUUACACAUGCAAGUCGAACGGUAACAGGUUAAGCUGACGAGUGGCGAACGGGUGAGUAAUGCAUCGGAACGUGCCCGAUCGUGGGGGAUAACGCAGCGAAAGCUGCGCUAAUACCGCAUACGAUCUGAGGAUGAAAGCGGGGGACCGUAAGGCCUCGCGCGAUCGGAGCGGCCGAUGUCAGAUUAGGUAGUUGGUGGGGUAAAGGCUCACCAAGCCAACGGUCGGUAGCUGGUCUGAGAGGACGACCAGCCACAGGGGGACUGGGAAACGGCCCAGACUCCUACGGGAGGCAGCAGUGGGGAAUUUUGGACAAUGGGCGAAAGCCUGAUCCAGCAAUGCCGCGUGCAGGAAGAAGGCCUUCGGGCUGUAAACUGCUUUUGUACGGAGCGAAAAGGUCUCCUCUAAUACAGGGGGCUCAUGACGGUACCGUAAGAAUAAGCACCGGCUAACUACGUGCCAGCCGCCGCCGUAA
rnacentral:rRNA from 1 species